UAGGUGGACAGUUAAGUCAGUUGUGAAAGUUUGCGGCUCAACCGUAAAAUUGCAGUUGAUACUGGCUGUCUUGAGUACAGUAGAGGUGGGCGGAAUUCGUGGUGUAGCGGUGAAAUGCUUAGAUAUCACGAAGAACUCCGAUUGCGAAGGCAGCUCACUGGACUGCAACUGACACUGAUGCUCGAAAGUGUGGGUAUCAAACAGGAUUAGAUACCCUGGUAGUCCACACAGUAAACGAUGAAUACUCGCUGUUUGCGAUAUACAGUAAGCGGCCAAGCGAAAGCAUUAAGUAUUCCACCUGGGGAGUACGCCGGCAACGGUGAAACUCAAAGGAAUUGACGGGGGCCCGCACAAGCGGAGGAACAUGUGGUUUAAUUCGAUGAUACGCGAGGAACCUUACCCGGGCUUAAAUUGCAUUUGAAUAUAUUGGAAACAGUAUAGCCGUAAGGCAAAUGUGAAGGUGCUGCAUGGUUGUCGUCAGCUCGUGCCGUGAGGUGUCGGCUUAAGUGCCAUAACGAGCGCAACCCUUAUCUUUAGUUACUAACAGGUCAUGCUGAGGACUCUAGAGAGACUGCCGUCGUAAGAUGUGAGGAAGGUGGGGAUGACGUCAAAUCAGCACGGCCCUUACGUCCGGGGCUACACACGUGUUACAAUGGGGGGUACAGAAGGCAGCUACCUGGUGACAGGAUGCUAAUCCCAAAAGCCUCUCUCAGUUCGGAUCGAAGUCUGCAACCCGACUUCGUGAAGCUGGAUUCGCUAGUAAUCGCGCAUCAGCCAUGGCGCGGUGAAUACGUUCCCGGGCCUUGUACACACCGCCCGUCAAGCCAUGAAAGCCGGGGGUACCUGAAGUACGUAACCGCAAGGAGCGUCCUAGGGUAAAACUGG
rnacentral:rRNA from 1 species